AGUAAGGUCAGCUAACUAAGCUAUCGGGCCCAUACCCCGAAAAUGAUCCUUUAACCCCAUCCCCUACUA
rnacentral:tRNA from 1 species